rnacentral:rRNA from 1 species
GACGAACGCUGGCGGCGCGCUUAACACAUGCAAGUCGAACGGAAAGGCCUGCUUUCCCUUGUGGAUUGCGGGUACUCGAGUGGCGAACGGGUGAGUAACACGUGAGUGAUCUGCCCCCAACUUGGGUAUAAGCCUGGGAAACUGGGUCUAAUUCCCGAUAGGACUGCAGGGUGGUGCCUGUGGUGGAAAACGAUUUUCUAGUGGUUGGGGAUGAGCUCGCGGCCUAUCAGCUUGUUGGUGGGGUAAUGGCCUACCAAGGCGGCGACGGGUAGCCGGCCUGAGAGGGUGGACGGCCACAGUGGGACUGAGAUACGGCCCAGACUCCUACGGGAGGCAGCAGUGGGGAAUAUUGCACGAUGGGCGGAAGCCUGAUGCAGCGACGCCGCGUGGGGGAUGACGGCCUUCGGGUUGUAAACUCCUUUCGACCGCGAGGAAGCCACCUGGUUGGAAGGGUGGUGACGGUAGUGGUAGAAGAAGCACCGGCUAACUACGUG